UCUUAGCCCUGAUGGGAGAGGAAAUCCUGGCCUUGGGAGAUUGCCGUGCAAGCUCGCAAGGACAGAUUGGAGCGGACAGCAGGAAUACGG
rnacentral:sRNA from 1 species